UGCAUCAGACCAGCACUGCUCUCAAAAUUCAUUCGAAGCAGGGGAAAGUCUCGCCGGGUUAAAAAUUCCAUGAUGAGCCUAUCUCGGUGAGGUAUACUCUUCAGGCUGGGAGCAGUGGGGGAGCCACAUUUUACAUCCUUUAGCUGCUUCAGAGCUCAGUGCAGUUGUUUCCAUUAAGAUGCGCAAUGAAAACAGCAGGGUUUUACAGUUUGCUUCACUCCAGCGAGGGAAAAGAGGGUCACAUGCUGCUGAGGCUAAAAAUUGUCCAGCAAAGAGACAGAGCUCCAUAGCAACAAAUUACCUUGCUCAGUGACAAUCAGGAGAUUGGCUGUGUAAACCAUCGCAAUAGAAACUCUGCCAAAAUGCUUGGCAAACACGGAAAUGAUAAGCAAUCUGCAAGAGGCCCUGUUGAAGCAGAAAGGAUGCAGAAUCCCAGCCCUUGUACAUGCCCUGCUUGAGUCACACAAAGUACACACUGAUCCUGUACUCACUGUUCCAGGGACAUGGGGAGAAAAUGUACACUGACUAAAACUGCAGUGUAAUCUUCAGGAAAUGGUGCAGGAAAGAAUUAAAUUCUACAGUCACUUUCAAGAUGAUGGCUCUAAUUUCAGAAGAAAUAUCAAAGUUAACACCACUCUAACAGUACAGCAGUGGAAGAAAAUCCAUCGGGCCCAAGAGAAGAAAUUUCCCGAAGACCGAGUGAAUUUGGAGCUUUGAAGACUUUAUCAUUUUAAGAAUUUCUCAAAAAUAGAGCCAGCAGUUGUAAGCAUUUAAACAAAACAAUGAGUCAGCAGGAAUUUGUAGAAAGAUCAACUGGAGAGUGACAGCACUCCAGGCUAAAGCCUUUAGUUUAGAGUUGGUAAGAAGCGCAGAAGCAGCAGAGCAGGUUAGAAAGAGUUUAAAGACUAGUCACAAGCUGACAGCUACAUACUCCAUCAGGAAUCAAGGAUCUGUAGGAGUGUUCCCAGUUUGAGGUUUGGCUAUGAAAUGAAUAUAUCAGAGCUCCAUGAAUAAGUUUAAAAUUCUUUCUUCGGCAAGGAGAGAAAAUUUAAAUCAAUUGGUGUAAUAAACAGGCUGGGAAGUUUAGAAUAAAAAACAAUAGUAGUACUCCCAGCU